rnacentral:rRNA from 1 species
CAAUAGCGUAUAUUAACGUUGUUGCAGUUAAAAAGCUCGUAGUUGGAUUUCUGGGGGGAGCGUCGGCCCGUAUUUACGAGUGCGUGACGUCUCUGUCCAUCCUUGCGGGAAGGCACGGCAUUAUUUGUUGUGUCGGAUCGCAUCAUUUACUGUGAAAAAAUUAGAGUGUUCAAAGCAGGCUUUCGCUUGAAUACAUUAGCAUGGAAUAAUAAGAUAGGACUUUGGUGCUAUUUUGUUGGUUGAGCCUAAAGUAAUGAUUAAUAGGGAUAGUUGGGGGCACCUGUAUUGCGUUGUCAGAGGUGAAAUUCUUGGAUUUACGCAAGACAAACAGCUGCGAAAGCGUCUGCCAAGGAUGUUUUCAUUAA